rnacentral:lncRNA from 1 species
CAGAGGACCACAUCCAGCAUCCAUACCUACAGUCCAAGAAAUAGGUCAAUGGACUCCACACACACACACACAAAGAGAAAUUAUGAGCGUGGGUUUGAUGCCAGCGGUAUCUAGGCUGCGAGCGGAGAGCUGGACGCAGAGCUCAUCGACUUUAUACUUUGAGGACAUGAUCUUGGGUUUUUAUAUAUAUAUUCUGAGAGA